UACAGAGGGUGCAAGCGUUAAUCGGAAUUACUGGGCGUAAAGCGCGCGUAGGUGGUUUGUUAAGUUGGAUGUGAAAUCCCCGGGCUCAACCUGGGAACUGCAUCCAAAACUGGCAAGCUAGAGUAGGGCAGAGGGUGGUGGAAUUUCCUGUGUAGCGGUGAAAUGCGUAGAUAUAGGAAGGAACACCAGUGGCGAAGGCGACCACCUGGGCUCAUACUGACCACUGAGGUGCGAAAGCGUGGGGAGCAAACAGGA
rnacentral:rRNA from 1 species